rnacentral:rRNA from 1 species
AUUGAACGCUGGCGGCAGGCCUAACACAUGCAAGUCGAGCGGAGCGGCGGACGGGUGAGUAAUGCCUAGGAAUCUGCCUGGUAGUGCGGGAUAACGUCCGGAAACGGGCGCUAAUACCGCAUACUAUCAGAUGAGCCUAGGUCGGAUUACCUAGUUGGUGGGGUAAAGGCCUACCAAGGCGACGAUCCGUAACUGGUCUGAGAGGAUGAUCAGUCACACGGGAACUGAUACACGGUCCAGACUCCUACGGCAGGCAGCAGUGGGGAAUAUUGGACAAUGGGCGAAAGCCUGAUCCAGCCAGGACGCGUGUGUGAAGAAGGUCUUCGGAUUGUAAAGCACUUUAAGUUGGGAGGGGGGAACAAAAGAAUAAGCACCGGCUAACUUCGUGCCAGCAGCCGCGGUAAUAG